UACGUAGGUGGCAAGCGUUGUCCGGAUUUACUGGGCGUAAAGAGCGCGCAGGCGGUCGUUCAAGUCGAGUGUGAAAGCCCCCGGCUCAACUGGGGAGGGUCACUCGAUACUGAUCGACUCGAAGGCAGGAGAGGGAAGUGGAAUUCCCGGUGUAGUGGUGAAAUGCGUAGAUAUCGGGAGGAACACCAGUGGCGAAGGCGACUUCCUGGCCUGUUCUUGACGCUGAGGCGCGAAAGCUAGGGUAGCGAACGGG
rnacentral:rRNA from 1 species